GAUUGGCGCAAGCCUGAUCCAGCCAUGCCGCGUGAGUGAUGAAGGCCUUAGGGUUGUAAAGCUCUUUUACCAGGGAUGAUAAUGACAGUACCUGGAGAAUAAGCUCCGGCUAACUCCGUGCCAGCAGCCGCGGUAAU
rnacentral:rRNA from 1 species